rnacentral:lncRNA from 1 species
CAAGGAAUGAGGUGCUUGGUCCAGCAAUCACAGAGAAACUGAAUCCUGCUGAUGAUCAUGAGGGUGAGCUUGGAAGCAGAUUCUGUCCCAGAUGAACUUUGAUUGUGUCUUGUUAGAAACCCUGGACCAACUCCUUGAUUGCACCUGUGAGAGGCCCUGAAGCGGAGGGCCCAGCUAAGGUGUGUCUGGAUUUCUGACCCACAGAAACUGAGAUCAUAAAUGUGUGGUUUUAAGCCCUACUCCAGCACUUUCACAGUCAUUUACGGCAUCUGCAGAGCAGUGAAAAAUUUGAAUUGCCUGAGAUACAUGCUCCCUGCUGAAGUCGCACAAGAUGGCAAGGAUAUUGCUGUUGGCUCAUAGGAUGUGAACAGUGGUGUUGAGAUUACCCUCAUUUGGCUGAUGAUGUCAUUGAGGCCCAGAGAAGGUAGGACACCUGGCAGGGCCUGGCUUUGGGGCUAACUUCUGCAGCUCUUUUGAUUGCCCCCACCUUACAGUUUUUGGCACAGAGCACUGUGUAGCUGGCACUUCUCUACUGGCCCGAAUGAGAAAACUUCCUCAGAGCAAAAUGUCAAGCACCAAAUAAGAUUCAUGUUUACUGUGAAGUGAUUGCUGCUUUUUAAAUGCUUAUCAGAAGCCGAAGGACAAACUCAGUAGGUUGAUUCAUGCUGAGCUCGACUACCUCCGUGAGAAAUGACUCUCCUGUAGGGCUCGAUGACCUUCAUGUCAAUGCGCUGCUCUUGUUCUCCAAUGACC